rnacentral:rRNA from 1 species
GAUGAACGCUGGCGGCGUGCUUAACACAUGCAAGUCGAACGGAAAGGCUCCUGCUUGCAGGGGUACUCGAGUGGCGAACGGGUGAGUAACACGUGGGUGAUCUGCCCUGCACUUCGGGAUAAGCCUGGGAAACUGGGUCUAAUACCGGAUAGGACCACAUUUUGGAUGGUGUGGUGGAAAGUUUUUCGGUGUGGGAUGAGCUCGCGGCCUAUCAGCUUGUUGGUGGGGUAAUGGCCUACCAAGGCGUCGACGGGUAGCCGGCCUGAGAGGGUGUACGGCCACAUUGGGACUGAGAUACGGCCCAGACUCCUACGGGAGGCAGCAGGGGGGAAUAUUGCACAAUGGGCGCAAGCCUGAUGCAGCGACGCCGCGUGGGGGAUGACGGCCUUCGGGUUGUAAACUCCUUUCGCUAGGGACGAAGCGCAAGUGACGGUACCUGGAGAAGAAGCACCGGCUAACUACGUG